rnacentral:rRNA from 1 species
UAGGGAAUAUUGCUCAAUGGGGGAAACCCUGAAGCAGCAACGCCGCGUGGAGGAUGACACUUUUCGGAGCGUAAACUCCUUUUGUUAGGGAAGAACCAUGACGGUACCUAACGAAUAAGCACCGGCUAACUCCGUGCCAGCAGCCGCGGUAAUACGGGGGGUGCAAGCGUUACUCGGAAUCACUGGGCGUAAAGGACGCGUAGGCGGAUUAUCAAGUCUUUUGUGAAAUCCUAUGGCUUAACCAUAGAACUGCUUGGGAAACUGAUAAUCUAGAGUGAGGGAGAGGCAGAUGGAAUUGGUGGUGUAGGGGUAAAAUCCGUAGAGAUCACCAGGAAUACCCAUUGCGAAGGCGAUCUGCUGGAACUCAACUGACGCUAAGGCGUGAAAGCGUGGGGAGCAAACA